rnacentral:rRNA from 1 species
AACCCAGACUCCUACGGGAGGCAGCAGUGGGGAAUAUUGCACAAUGGGGGAAACCCUGAUGCAGCGACGCCGCGUGAGCGAUGAAGUAUUUCGGUAUGUAAAGCUCUAUCAGCAGGGAAGAAAAUGACGGUACCUGACUAAGAAGCCCCGGCUAACUACGUGCCAGCAGCCGCGGUAAUACGUAGGGGGCAAGCGUUAUCCGGAUUUACUGGGUGUAAGGGAGCGUAGACGGCAAUGCAAGCCAGAUGUGAAAGCCCGGGGCUCAACCCCGGGACUGCAUUUGGAACUGUGUAGCUGGAGUGUCGGAGAGGCAGGCGGAAUUCCUAGUGUAGCGGUGAAAUGCGUAGAUAUUAGGAGGAACACCAGUGGCGAAGGCGGCUUACUGGACUGUAACUGACGUUGAGGCUCGAAAGCGUGGGGAGCAAACAGGAUUAGAUACCCCCGUAU